CCGCCCCCAGCUCCUCACCAGGCAAACCUGGGCAUAUGGGCCUGCCCCUGCUGGUGAGGUGGCCACAACGGUGUGUGGGAAUGGGAUGCUCUGUGACCCAGGUGGUGUGGGCUGAGUCCCGGGAGCCAAAGGGCAGAGGCAGGAUCAGCCACGGGAUUCCAGCCUUGGGAACUCCCAACCCCAGGCUCUGGGGAAGGAGCAGACACACACCAAUGUGCGAAUGCAGCUGCAACACUCGCUGGAAGGAGAGGUGACACUGUCUGGGGCGUCUGGGAAGGCUGGUCAGAAGAGGUGACGCCUUGGCAGGGCUUGGAGAGGGAGGUUCCAGCAGGGUCGGCCUCACACACAUGAAGGGUCUUGGAUGUCGACACUGGACAUCCUUCCCCAGGGAGGUAGUUCAUUCAGUCAUGGAACAUUUCAAGGUGGGAAGAAGGUGUUCAUCACAUGGCUAUGAUCAUGUACCCAUUGCAGACCACCCUGUCCUGGGGGCAUGAGGAGUUCAUCUCCUAAAUCAGUGGUUCUCAACAGGGACAGUCCUCCCUCCCCAGGGGACAUUUGGCAAUGACUGGAG
rnacentral:lncRNA from 1 species